rnacentral:siRNA from 1 species
AGGUGUGUUUUGCUCAUUUUAAGG